rnacentral:rRNA from 1 species
UAGGGAAUCUUCCGCAAUGGGCGAAAGCCUGACGGAGCAACGCCGCGUGAGUGAUGAAGGUCUUCGGAUCGUAAAACUCUGUUAUUAGGGAAGAACAAAUGUGUAAGUAACUAUGCACGUCUUGACGGUACCUAAUCAGAAAGCCACGGCUAACUACGUGCCAGCAGCCGCGGUAAUACGUAGGUCCCGAGCGUUGUCCGGAUUUAUUGGGCGUAAAGCGAGCGCAGGCGGUCAAUUAAGUCUGAUGUGAAAGCCCCCGGCUAAACCGGGGAGGGUCAUUGGAAACAGGUUGACUUGAGUGCAGAAGGGGAGGGUGGAAUUCCGUGUGUGAGGGUGAAGUGCGUAGAUAUAUGGAGGAACACCAGUGGCGAAGGCGACUCUCUGGUCAGUAACUGACGCUGAGGCUCGAAAGCGUGGGUAGCAAACAGG